GACGAACGCUGGCGGCGUGCCUAAUACAUGCAAGUCGAACGCAUUUUCUUUCACCGUAGCUUGCUACACCGAAAGAAAAUGAGUGGCGAACGGGUGAGUAACACGUGGGUAACCUGCCCAUCAGCGGGGGAUAACACUUGGAAACAGGUGCUAAUACCGCAUAAUUCCAUUUACCGCAUGGUAGAUGGGUGAAAGGCGCUUUUGCGUCACUGAUGGAUGGACCCGCGGUGCAUUAGCUAGUGGGUGGGGUAACGGCCUACCAAGGCUGCGAUGCAUAGCCGACCUGAGAGGGUGAUCGGCCACACUGGGACUGGGACACGGCCCAGACUCCUACGGGAGGCAGCAGUAGGGAAUCUUCGGCAAUGGACGCAAGUCUGACCGAGCAACGCCGCGUGAGUGAAGAAGGUUUUCGGAUCGUAAAACUCUGUUGUUAGAGAAGAACAAGGAUGAGAGUGGAAAGUUCAUCCCUUGACGGUAUCUAACCAGAAAGCCACGGCUAACUACGUG
rnacentral:rRNA from 1 species